rnacentral:tRNA from 1 species
CGGGACGUGGCGCAGUCCGGUAGCGCACACGACUGGGGGUCGUGGGGUCGCAGGUUCAAAUCCUGUCGUCCCGACCA